GACUCUUCCUAGAGCUGGCCCCCCGGACAAACUGAGCAAUCGGGGGAGAAGGGCCUUGGUCAGGGAGGUGACCAAGAACCCGAUGGUCACUCUGACAGAGCUCCAGAGUUCCUCUGUGGAGAUGGGAGAACCUUCCAGAAAAACAACCAUCUCUGCAGCAUUCCACCAAUCAGGCCAGAGUGGCCAGACGGAAGCCACUCCUCAGCCCGCUUGGAGUUUGCCAAAAAUAACCUUAAAGGACUCUCAGACCAUGAGAAACAAUAUUCUCUGGUCUGAUGAAACCAAGAUUGAACUCCUUGCCCUGAAUGCCAAGUGUCAUGUCUGGAGGAAACCAGGCACCGCUCAUUAACCUUUUCAAUGCCAUCCCUGUUGUGAAGCAUGGUGGUGGCAGCAUCAUGCUGUGGUGAUGUUUUUCAGCUGCAGGGACUGGGAGACUAGUCAGGAAAAGAUCAAUGGAGCAAACAAGGUAUAGAUGAAGCCUCCACAGCGCUCAGGACUCAGAAGACUGGCACAAAUCUUCACCUUCCAACAGGAUAACAAUAGGAGUGGUUUGGGACAAGUCUCUGGCUGAGCCACUCAGCCAGAGCCCGGACUUGAACCUGAUCGAACAUCUCUGGAGAGACCUGAAAAUGCCUGUGCAGCGACACUCCCAUCCAACCUGACAGAGCUUGAGAGGAUCCACAGAGAAUAAUGGGAGAAACUCCUCAAAUACAGGUCUGCCAAGUUUGUAGCGUCAUACCCAAGAAUAAUCAAGGCUGUAAUUGCUGCCAAAGGACAGUGAGGUGGACUGUCGGCUCUCAAACCUUCAUGAGGAGGACACUGUAGAAGUUGUCCCCACGGUGACAAGGACUGGCAGGGACAACAUGCUGCUGAGGCUGAAGAAAGGGCUGAGGGACAAUCACACCCUCACAGGACAUACCCUCACAGCCCAGGUGAGCACGAUACGAUAAGCCAGGGUAACAGAACACACACACAAAGACACACACAAGACAGGAAGGUGAACAUUGUGGCGAAGAAUCAACAUUUGGCUAGCCUGGUCCCAGAUCUGUUCAUCCUGUUGUAUGAUAGUUGUCAUGCUAUGUUACCAUAGGAGAUGGCUAUACGUAGGAGUUGGCUAUGUGGGCAAGCGAGGGCAAGUGGUUAUGCGUAGUAGGGGACCAACAUUGUUGUAGGUUGAGGCACUCCAGGUAGUGUGAUUCAUUGCGGACAUAGGCACCAGUAAAGGUAACUGUCAAAUAUGUCCACACUGAUGCCCUCUCUAUGGAUUAGGAUGCCAUUUGGAACGCAGCCCUAGCAUUGAAAUAUAAUAAACCUUUGUUCCUCCUGUGCAGGGUGAACCUGGCGUGGGCUACACUGAGCUGACAGAGGAGUGUAGGGCAGCCCAGCCCCCAAAGGGACUCUUAUCAAAUUUAUACAAGAAUUCCUCUGUGUUGCCUUAGGAAUACAUCUCUCUCUACUACAGGAGCUGGGUCGUGUCAGAGGUCUGGCUGUCAAGCAGACUGAGAUCCCGAGGAAGGCAUCCCACGAGCAGCUGGCUCAGUAUGUCCAAACGCACGAUGCAAAUGUUAAAGAAUAUACUCCAUAUUGACGUUGAAUCAAAUAGAUUGAACACUUUGCUGAGACUGGUUUCUCUUCACUUGCAGAGGGACAGAAUGUGUGCUUGCAAGGUCAGGCUGGUUUAGGGAGGUUCUAGAAAUACAGUACGCUUGAUGCCAUGCCAACUGAUGCCUGUCCCCCACCCCUCCAGGUGUAAGAUACUGCCCAGCGUUGCUCCCCAUCCACAUCCAUUUUGAUGACAAUAUCCCUGAGAUGAAUGUUGUAUAUAAUGUUAUGGCUAUGAUGGUUACAGGUUUGAAUGAGACAAUGUAUUCCUCUAACCUUAUUCUUUCAAUAAAGUUUUUCUUUCAUUAAUAUUA